rnacentral:rRNA from 1 species
UACAGGGGGGGCAAGCGUUGUUCGGAAUUACUGGGCGUAAAGGGCGCGUAGGCGGCCUUCUAAGUCAGACGUGAAAUCCCCGGGCUCAACCCGGGAACUGCGUCUGAGACUGGAAGGCUCGAAUCCGGGAGAGGGAUGCGGAAUUCCAGGUGUAGCGGUGAAAUGCGUAGAUAUCUGGAGGAACACCGGUGGCGAAGGCGGCAUCCUGGACCGGCAUUGACGCUGAGGCGCGAAAGCCAGGGGAGCAAACGGG